UACGAAGGGGGCGAGCGUUGUUCGGAAUUACUGGGCGUAAAGGGUGUGUAGGCGGUUUAAUAAGAUAGGGGUGAAAUCCCAGGGCUCAACCUUGGAAUUGCCUUUAUUACUAUUAGACUUGAGUAAUGGAGAGGAUAGUGGAAUACCCAGUGUAGAGGUGAAAUUCGUAGAUAUUGGGUAGAACAUCAGUGGCGAAGGCGACUAUCUGGCCAUUUACUGACGCUGAGGCACGAAAGCGUGGGGAGCAAACAGG
rnacentral:rRNA from 1 species